rnacentral:lncRNA from 1 species
GGGAUGAAUAUAAUUAACAUAUGCUAUGGGCCCUGGUCUAAAGUAGUGUUCUAUAUAUAGGGAAUAGGGCCCUGGUCUAUAUAGGGAAUAGGGCCCUGGUCUAUAUAGGGGAUAGGGCCCUGGUCUAUAGGGAAUAGGGCCCUGGUCUAAAGUAGUGUUCUAUAUAUAGGGAAUAGGGCCCUGGUCUAUAUAGGGAAUAGGGCCCUGGUCUAAAGUAGUGUCCUCUAUAUAGGGAAUAGGGCCCUGGUCUAUAUAGGGAAUAGGGCUCUGGUCUAUAUAGGGGAUAGGGCCCUGGUCUAAAGUAUAGUGCACUAUAUAGGGAAUAGGGCCCUGGUCUAAAGUAGUGUCCUAUAUAGGGAAUAGGGCCCUGGUCUAAAGUAGGAAUAGGGCCCUGGUCUAAAGUAGUGUUCUCUAUAUAGGGAAUAGGGCCCUGGUCUAUAUAGGGAAUAGGGCCCUCGUCUAAAGUAGUGUCCUAAAUAGGGAAUAGGGUGCUAUGACACGUUGAUCAUUGACCUUUGACCCCUGCUCCUGGUUUGAAGACGCCAACAUUUAGUUAGUGUACAUAGAGAUCAUUCAUGUAUUUAUUUGUCUUGGGUUUGUAAAAGUGAUUGUGUAG